rnacentral:rRNA from 1 species
AAGGAAUAUUGGUCAAUGGGCGCAAGCCUGAACCAGCCAUGCCGCGUGCAGGAAGACGGCCUUAUGGGUUGUAAACUGCUUUUAUAUAGGAAUAAACCCUUUCUCGUGAGAAAGGCUGAAGGUACUAUACGAA